AGAAAACAACAACAACAAAGCGGAGGCGCGCAGCGAUGAAACCGAGCUGUAAUAAUACAGGACAGGCUGAGGCGCAGUUCACUCUUCCCGCCCGUAAACAGGAAAUACAAGGCUGCAACACGAGCGAGAGUCUUUCCACUUCCGGGAGACUUUAAUAACGCUCUUUUAGCAAAUAUCAAUAUCAGAGUAUAAUCUGUAGUUUACUUAAAUAGGUAUAAUAUAAUCAUAUUUUAUAUAAAUAUUUAAAAAGUUGUAAAAAAAAAUAAAUAAUACUAAAUGUUUACAGUCACAUCAAACUGGUGGUUCAGAGAACAUCUGACCUGAGCAUUAGAAACACACUGUAUAUCUGUCCCUUCCCCUCUGAGACAGACAAAAGCCUGGUUUGUGAUGUAAUCUGAUGAAAUAUAAUGAGCACACCAUCUGCCCCCCGCGCGUCAGCGCUGCAUGGACACUCUUUGGUCAGUGGGUAGACGCUUUAUUCCAGGAGGACUUCAGCAUGACUCCAGAUAAACUCUUCAGGACGUUUGACUAUGAGCCUGUGGCUGCUGACUCGAAAGGAACGUUGGCCCAGGAGCUGGACACACACACACACACACACACACACAUAAUAGCUAUGUAUAAGUUAUGUAUUAAACACCUAAAUCUAUUUUAUAAAUUAUAA
ensembl:lncRNA